UGGGCCGAGCUGGAUUUGAACCAGCGUAGACAUAUUGCCAACGAAUUUACAGUCCGUCCCCAUUAACCGCUCGGGCAUCGACCCAGGAAGAAUCCAUUUCAAUCUUUA
rnacentral:tRNA from 1 species